rnacentral:sRNA from 1 species
UGCAUCCCGAUCCUGAGGAUGAGGAUUCAGAUGACUACGAUGGAGAAGAAUAUGAUGUGGAAGCACAUGAACAAGGACAGGGGGACAUCCCUACAUUUUACACCUAUGAAGAAGGAUUAUCCCAUCUAACAGCAGAAGGCCAAGCCACACUGGAGAGAUUAGAAGGAAUGCUUUCUCAGUCUGUGAGCAGCCAGUAUAAUAUGGCUGGGGUCAGGACAGAAGAUUCAAUAAGAGAUUAUGAAGGUGAGUGUCCUUUUGCAGUGUGAACAGUCAGAUGAGCACU